rnacentral:rRNA from 1 species
UACGAAGGGGGCUAGCGUUGUUCGGAAUCACUGGGCGUAAAGGGCGCGUAGGCGGCUUUGUAAGUCGGGGGUGAAAGCCUGUGGCUCAACCACAGAAUUGCCUUCGAUACUGCACGGCUUGAGACCGGAAGAGGUUAGUGGAACUGCGAGUGUAGAGGUGAAAUUCGUAGAUAUUCGCAAGAACACCAGUGGCGAAGGCGGCUGACUGGUCCGGUUCUGACGCUGAGGCGCGAAAGCGUGGGGAGCAAACGGG